UACGUAGGGUGCAAGCGUUGUCCGGAAUUAUUGGGCGUAAAGAGCUCGUAGGCGGUUUGUUGCGUCGGCUGUGAAAUCCCGAGGCUCAACCUCGGGUCUGCAGUCGAUACGAGCAAACUAGAGUGUUGCAGGGGAGACUGGAAUUCCUGGUGUAGCGGUGAAAUGCGCAGAUAUCAGGAGGAACACCGGUGGCGAAGGCGGGUCUCUGGGCAACAACUGACGCUGGAGGAGCGAAAGCGUGGGGGAGCAAACAGG
rnacentral:rRNA from 1 species